rnacentral:lncRNA from 1 species
GGAUCUUAGAGCUUUCUCAGCCUCGAAGCUAACUGUAUCCAUUAAAGUGAAAGACCUUUUUGCACUGCCAAUGUAGGAGAAAUUCACGCGCGGACACUUUUUUGACAGAAGUGAGAGUUUUCGCAAAAGUAACCAAGCCAAGCCGAGCGGUGGCAGUGCCAAAAAGAUACUCUGUCUGCGCUCACCUCUGGGGUUUGCUCUUUCUCCUAUUUCUAAGGAAGAGAUGGGGGAAGAAGGAAGGGAGGAAAUCAGAAGCGUCUCUAAAACCACUCUGUGGUCAUAGUCAAGACCCCAGGCGCAGGCGGCAGGAAGCUUCCGCGCACUAAGUGCGGGACGCACACCUCACACGCCGCGCUCUGUUCUGGCACCCAGACCCAAUACUUACCAGUGAUCGAAGCCUCUAGAGUAGAAUGAGGUGGUAAGUGAAAAAGAGAAAAGGCUUCUGCUAGCUCCACGGAGACUGCGAUUGCUGUAGCGGGCUCUUCCGCCACAGCUCGCAGUCCGCGGAGCAGCUGGUGUAGUGGAGGCUGCCUCUGAAGCUGUUCGGGCCGCCCCGGUUGGUUGGGCUGCCUGGGCUGCCUGUGUCGCCGCUGUCACUGCCACUCUGCGCACUCUGUUCAGCUUGCUUUCUGCUUUGCCGCGCGGGCCGCUGCGUGCAGCUCGGGCUCACGGCUCCUCCCGCCCUGACAGUUCGCCGACUGCAAGGAGCCAGUGCCGAGCCAGCCCUUUUCAAUGGCGAGGGGGAGGGACUUGAUAGAGGGGGAGAAGGGGGAAGGAAGGGGGGUGAGCGAGUGGAGGGCGGGGGGAGGGAAGUGAACCAGUGCCCGGGCCGCCUGCUGGGAGGGGAUGGUGCAGCACCAACUGCUGGGUACCCCCCUCUGGUCCCCACUCCCUGCACCCCACAUCCCCCACCGCUCCGGGGACGGCCCCUCCCGGCUGACGGGGAACCGGGGGAGAAGGGCGGGGGCGAGAUGGAGGCUUGAACAGCUACACACUUGUAGUGGACAGAAACUACAGCUGAAUUUCUUUCGUAGGAGCCUGGGAAUUACAGCCUUAUGUGUAUAGCUGAACUUUGCUGAAGCACUGAGCUCUGAUUAAUGCAAUUAA